UCUUGUUUGUAAGUGUGUGCCAGUUGUCUCUCGUUCUCUCACUGGACACCACUGAGAAGAUUCUGUCUCCCUCUUCUUUACUUCCCUCCUGUUCCCUCACCAGUGUCCUGAGGAAGGAAGCUGAAAUGUGAAUAGGCCUCUCAUCCCAUAUAAAUUGUCUCUUGGCAGGGCUGUGAAGUUACUUUCCUAAAGGAAUGACGGACCUCCCUCAUUAGUAACCACAGGAACAUGUUGAUUUUCUACAUGCAACCUUUAUGCUAAAUUUGGUACUUCUUUUUGUUCAUCAGGAGAACAUGUUCUAUCUGUAUAUACAUCCAUUUAGUCAUUAUGUAGUCUGAUAUAACUUUAGUCAGCUUAUGACUAAAAAGUAAUUUAGAAAUUUGAUGAACAAUACAUUCACUGUUUACCCUAUUAUGAUUAUCCUCUUGUUUGUGUCUCUUGUCAAGAUGCAGUUGAGUGGAAUUUUCAACUCAAUUAAAAGCACAA